UCUCAUUAGAGAAGAAAUCUAGUAUUUUCCUAAUUAAGUUAAGAGACCAGAUGAAGAAAAUUAACGACGACCAUAAAAUGUCCUGGCCUUGACUCUCCAUGCAGCAGUCUAUGCUUUCCAGACUGGGAGUAAUCCAGCCUCCUGGCCAUCAUUUUCUUGCACAGGGGAUAGAAAUAUCCAUUUUUUUCCAAUGACAGGACUGCCAGGAUGAUUCUGGGCUGUGGAUGGCAGAGGAAGACCUCCUCCAAGACACUGUGUUUCCUGCCGAUUCCUGCCCGGGUACUACAAGGCCAAUGCUCACAGUUUCCAUGGCUUAUGCUUUGCUCUGGGGUUCAAUUCCCACCCCAGGGUCAGCACUGGGGUCCUAUGCUCCAUCUAACCAUUAGGGCUGCGCCUUGAAAUCACUAAUGGAGCCUGCAACAGAGAUGGCCAUGGAUUUCAGUUGAAGCCUUUUAACGGCCCCAUUGUGCUGCAUUGUUUUUGUGGGUGUCUGCACCUUUCAAGCAAGCUCCAAUUAGAAGAGGGGGGGAGGAGAGGCGGAGAGAGGGACAUAAACAGAGGCAAAACGAUUCAGCUCUCAGCAAAUCCACAGCCUGUUUGUGGGACAGAUGGAGCCUCGCAGCGAAUGGCUUUGCUGCAGCAUGGCCCCGAGCAGGUGGGUAUUUUGGAAGUGAUGAGUGGUUUGCUUCCUUAGUUAGCAGCCACGCAGGCUCACACCGGACAUAUGUCAAUAACAGCUCUACUUGGUUCCUGCUGUCACAGCAGUCGGAACUUGCUCACUCCUGCCCACCUGCUCUCAAAAGAAAUUGCUGGAAUCAAAACAAACAAACAAGAAGUUACUGACACUUGUUGCGUUAGAGUGAGAAGGACAAAUGAGGGCUCAGAAGCACAUGAGUAUAAUUUCACUUAAGUACUAAUUGCUGAAUGCCUUUCAUUAAGAGACCAUCAUGGUCGUCCCAGCAGUGUUUUGAACAUACAUGCAGAUGGGCAGAUGGCCCUUUGCUGUAAUACAGGCAGAUGCAUCUAACGUUACAGAUGGAUUAUUAUGUUGAUUUGUCACUGAAAGAAGAACUUAUUUCACAAUAGGGCAUUCGUUUGAGCGUGGUUCUUUCUCAAGCUUACAUUCCCCCUCUGUAUUGCUAGUUUUCACUCCACGAAACAAAGUUCUCAUUCAGCAAGGCUAGUGUUUCCCCUUCUGUGCUGCAAAAAGACAAAGAAAAGAAGUUAAAGAGCCUGCCUAAGAAUAAUGUGGUCCUUUUGAGAACCUGGAAGAUGUAUUUUAACUUCAGACCUGGAGGCACUGGAACAGGCUGCCCAGGGCAGUGGUCACAGCACCAAGCCUACUGGAAUUUAAGAAGAGUUUGGACAAUGCUCUCCGCCAUAGGGUUUGGAUUUUGAGUGGUCCCGCGUGGAGCCAGGAGUUGGACUCAGUGAUCCUUGUGGGUCCCUUCCAACUCAGGAUAUUCUGAUUCUUGGGUCGAGUCCUCUAGCAUCGCUGGGUUAGAAAGGAGAUCUGGGACAGACACAGGGAAAGGGAACAAGUUUGAAGUUUAAGGUAACCUGCCCUGAAGAUGUUGUUUGAGCAACAAGCAGCAGUGUGGCUGUUGGAUUCACAGAGGUCAAAAUGCAGGGAUGGAAGAUUUUGGGGGCCUUAAAACAUGAGCCUGAAGGAAGGAGACCCCCAGCUCUCUGUGAAGGAUGGGCUUGAGCUGGCAACGAGUCAGAACGUCCUUGUGAAGGCGGGAGAGAACUGGAGCGUUGAGGCUUCUCUGCCUUUGAAACCACCUUUGUGUGAGCAAGAACUGGAGCUGUCCUGCAAAGGGACAGCUGCCAGAUGGAAGUAAAACUGUCCUUCAAGAGGGUGGCAGUCCUCAACAGGACGGUCAUGGCCUCAUCCUGCCUGCAGCUGCGGAAAUGCCACCUAUUAGGCCUGCUCCCAGCCUGCAGCCGCUGUGCUUGAGGAAAGCUGCAUGCUGGUGAGGGAGGUCCUAGAGAUGCUAUCAAGUGACAAGAACCUUGGGCUCUUUGCCUGGAUCAUGUUCUCUUCCCCAGAUUUUCCAUCCCAGAAGAGGGCAGGGAGCUUCACUGGGGGAUCAGACAAUGUGCAGGGUGUUUUCUCAGCCCUGUGACAGCUUUUUGUUUGGUUUCCUUCCGUAAUGUCACUGUGAUGAAGGGGAGAGAAAACUUGUUUUUCAAGUGUUCUCUCUGUUUUGUUGUUGUUGUUGUUGUUGUUGUUUGUUUGUUUGUUUGUUUGUUUGUUUGUUUUUGCUGCAGUCCCCUGUGCCUGCUGGCAGCUUCCUCAAGUGCCUGAAGGUGACUGGGAAAUUGUCUCUUCUGUUAGUGAGGCUUGUCCUGCUCUGGAGGAUGAUGGACUCCAUGGCAGGAAGCUGCUCUUUCGAAGCACAUCUCUUGAAAAUUAAAGAGAAGGGUUGGUCCUUAUGUAUGGUCUGUUCCUUGCCCUUCAAGAUCUAAUAUCCAUUGAAAAUAGGGAUAGCUGAGCUGGUAUGAUACAGUUUGUCCUGUGGACAGGAGGAAUGGCCUAGUGAUAAGGACACCCAGCUGGAGCAAGAACAAGAAGUAGGAGCCAGUUCUCUGCUGAAUACCCAGAUUACUAAGAAUCAUUUUUCUCCACUUCUUUCCAGCUCCAUGUGUCUUACUUUUGUGGCUGCCUGUUGGGUCAACCUCAACAAGACAAGCCUGGACCCAAUUACACCAGUGUCCCCCUGUUUAAGUCACCUUCCUGCAACAUGGGGAGUUGAAUCCUUUCCAAGUGGAGGAGGAACUUUUGUUUCUCAUUUCCUUGGUUAGCUCCUGCCUGUGAGCAGUACUGUGCAGUGCAGCUUCUAGUGGCUAUUUUCAGGUACUGUAAUGCCUCAGCUGACUUUUUGUAACUAAUCUUUGACACAUGGGGAUGUACCAGCAGAGGUUCCCGAUUCCAGCUAAAAUACCAACUAAAACAGCAUGGAAGUCUCCUUCCUUCCACAUCUCCCCAUGACCCCAACAGAGAUGUGUUAGGAUUUAAAUUUGUUACAUGCCUACAAGGUACUCAGUUUAAGAGAGCCUCAUCACAAAGUUAUUGUGAUAUAUGUGCUCCUCAGUGGGGGUGAGGUGGUUAAUGACUAACUUGUAAAACUGCUCUGUGCAUGGGUGAACUGCGUAGGUGUUUUCAGAAACAGCUGUGCCAGUUUCCCCUGUCAGGAUGGGCUUGGGUGGUGGCCAACUUUCCUGUCACUCUCUGUUUGCAAAGCUUUGUGUGAUUGAGUUUUGGUUUUUGAAAUCCAUCAGGUACAACUGAAAGUCAAAAGCAGCAUGUUUUUAGUAUUAUUUCAGAGCUUGCUUGGUUUUGCAGGAUUCCUUAUUGCGAAUACCAGUGUUCUGGAACUCUGUAAGAUGAUUAAAUCAACCUACUACUGCUAAGAAGCACCAAUUUGUAAGUUAAACACUGAUUAUGCCAGGAGGAGAAGCCCAAAUCCAUUUAGAUGAUACUCAUCAAAGUAAGAUCUCUAUGGUCAAGGGUCUGUAUAUGGUGUCUGGAAAGCUGGGCUUGAGUAUGGGUAGGAACUACUAAGUUGACCAUUUUAACAUCCUAGUUUUCAGUGUCCUACGUCACAACUCCUACAGUGCAUUUAACAAGUUAUGUGAAAGUCUCUCUAGAAAGGACUGUCUUCUGUUCCCUGAAAAUGUAUUUCUUCAUCCAACACAGGAGCCUGUGGCAGGUGCCCUGGAGGCUUUCAAGAAACAUGUAAAUGUGGCACUGAAGGACAUGGUUAGGAGGCAUGGUGGGGAUAGGCUGAUGGUUGGACUGGAUUACCUUACUGGCCUUUUCCAACGUUAAUGAUGUUAUGAUUCUUUACAGCCACGUGUGCUCAAGACCUGGAGAAAUCUCUUAAAAGAAGAGAAGUGGGCUGCUUUUACCUCACUGAACUCAUUACCUGAGAACAGUAACAGGGUCAGCUUUUUUCAGCCCUGGUGACCAAGUCUGGAUGCAGCUUUGCUGAUGAUGGGGAAUGACUCAGCGGCAUGAGACUUCCCUCAGCCACGUGUCAGGGAGUAGGUCUUUGCUUGUAGAUCAAAAAUUUUUGAGGAAAAAAUAAAAGGAUCUGGCAUUUUCCCACUCACCCACCCAUCUUGGAUUGCAUUCAGACAUGCUGUGUUCAUGACAAUAUUUUGGCUUUGACAAAUGGGAAACUUUUGGAUGUCAUUGUGGAAUAUAGGUGUGUUUUGUCUCUUCCUUCUUCUGAGGACAUAUCCUAUGAUUUUUUUCUAAUGAUUUUGUUCUCUUGGGAUAUUUUUGAUAUCAGAUUAACAAUUACUCUGCAGAGUAGUUGAAUUAUUGGUGUUUGUUACAGGCACUAUGCAAACAUAUUGUUUCUCAGGUUUCUAAAAGCUCUGCUUCUAAAACAUGACAAAAAAAAAAAAAUCAAAAUGGAUAAUAACCCCUGAUCCAUGCCAUGUAGAAACCCAAGCUCAUCUGCAAACUAAGCACCAAGUGCUUAUUUUACAGCAUGACCUUUCCUGGUGCUUCCCGACUCAUCAUUCCAAUGGCAUUAGUGCAGUUGAAACGGAAUGGAAAUUUUGGUUUCAUUUGAUUAUAUGAUACUGGGAAAACUCUUGUGGCAUUGCUAGUUUGAAUUUGAUAGUACAAGCUUGAUCAAUGGGCUGCUUUGUUGCUCUUCACCAACCUGUCAUGUAGUUGAUGACACAGGAGCUCUAAGCAGCCGUUUCCUCCUUCUCUCGUGUCUCAAAAAGGGAAAAGCAUUUGCUUUCUCUAAGAGAAAAAAAAAAAAGCGUUUGUGAAGUUAAGUCUCUUUGGGAACAACUUUGUUUUUAACGCAGCCCUUAUUUGUACUGGAGGAGAUACAUUGCCUUGUGUUAUGCAAUAGUUAGACAGCAUGCAAAUCCCAGCUCUUCCUGGAAAUGUUGGAUUCACCACAUUAGCAACUUCCAUGCAUUUUUCUGGCCUUUCCCAUGCAGUGAUGGCUGGGUGGCCCAGCAGUCCCUGAAGUCAUGGGAUGUUCUGGGGGGAUGUGUGGUCACCAGGUGAACAGGCUGCACAGAAAUAAAUAAAUAAGUCUGGGCUGUGGAUCGAGUUCACAUCGCCUGGUGUGACUGGGAAGAGCACAGUGUGCAAAAUGAUUUUGUUUAAAUUUAGCAGGAGUGUUGUGGCUGGAAAAGGCUGAUGAGAACCUGGCACCCACCUCCUCACCUCGCACUGUCUCCUCUCACAGUAGGAUUGUUGGCCUCCAAACAGAGCAUUGCUGGUGUGUAGCCUGAGCAAGCACCCUUUAAAUAACAUUUUUGCUUCUCUAAACUGUUUUGGUGAGUCAGUUCUUAGCAUCCAGAGCAGCCUUUAUGUGCCAGUGCUCUAGAGCAAUGGAGGAGACUCUGUCCCACCAAGUGGAUGAUGAACCUGUGUGAGCUGCCCUGGCUGAGCUGUUAUCACCUGCAUGUGUGUCUUUAUACUCCAUGGUCCAGGUAAGAGAUGAAACCAGUUGGGUUGAUCUACAUUUUGCUAAACCAGUACCUUCAGAUGCUACAAGGGCACUCUGUGAUGCACAGAAGCCAAUCCUACCUUCACCUUCUCCUUGGUCUCUGCCAGCCCUCUCCGUGGACAGGGCAGGUGGGAUCUGGGCUUGUUCUCUCUGUCUGUUCUCAUCUUGACAUCACUUCCAGGCUUGUCCCUCUCACAUCAAACCCUACCAUUCAUCUGCAGGAAUGUGCUGCCUUCAAGAUGCUCUAGUGUGACCUUAGGACGCAUACCUGCUGCAUGGGAAGUGAGCAAUGGAUGUCACUGUUGACAAGAGCUGAAGACUGUCAUCUCCUAACAGCUCUUUCCAGUGCUGCUUUGUUUGCUUUAUUUUGGGCAGCAGAUUUAAUGACCUCUUAAGUUAACAUUUCCAGCUGCUUUUUUUUUUUUCAGUUUAAUUGGGGAAAAAAUAGUGUCUCCUUUAAAAAGUUGACUGUCUGUUUCAUGAAGCAAAAACUUGGCUAUUUUUUUUGCCUCUGCCCAUCUAGUUUGUGUCCACCAGGCUUGACAUUUGCUUUCUACCCUCAGUAAUCAAUUGCAGUGUGUUGCACUCUAAAGAGAGGACUCAUUUGGUGUCAGUGCUGCUUAGCUUGAGUUAUUAGGUUUGGCAACAGAGAUGGACUUCAAACAAUCAUAGUACUGCUGAUAUCUUUGGAGGGAAGGGAGAAGGCUUUUCUCCUUUCUGGUUUAAAAUGAAAGCAAAAUAGUGCCCUUUUCCGUAUUUUCCUCGCUGCACAAGACUUUUGCCUAGGUUGCCUGAGGAGAAGACCUCUGUCAAAGCACUUCUACUUACAAAUGAAAGCCCUCUGCAAUGAGCUUAGGAGGAAUUUUCUGGUCACGGGAACGUUUAGAUGAGGAUAUGUGAGCCAGCAUUGUGGCUCAUCUCUCUUUCUCCUGCCCUCACAGUGACCCCAGCUCAAAUCCCAAGCCAUACAACCAUGCAUGGUGUGGCUCAUGAAUCCUCUUGGCCGUGGAGCUCAGAGCCCAUGAAGGUGAGAAGUGAGGCUGGAGCCCCAGGGGUAACCUCUCCUCAUGAGGUGGUACCUACCAUCAGCAGGUGGACAAAGUUGUGCAUCAACCUAGGAGCUGUGUCAUGGUGUAAUGCUUUGGCAUGGUGAAGGACAGCAUCAAAAGCUGUCAGCAACCAGGAAGGGGAGAAAGAAAAGGUGACAUCUUCCUGAAACGGAGUGUGUUGCAACUGCCUGCAGAGCUGGCUUACAGAGUGAUGGGGUGUGUGUGUGGGAAGAGAAUCAAACUACCAGAAAUACUAAAAUUGACUGGCUGGCAGGCUAAAACUUCAGCAGAGGCUGUGAUUAUACUUGUCACUAUCUGUUAACCUUCAAAACAGGUGCUGAGCAUUUGAAGUGCCAACACGGUGCUCAGGCUGCAAUCUGUGUAUGUGGAGAAAGUAGUAACACAAACACAGGCAGGGGGAAGGGGCUGGGGGCAUGCCAAGUGGGCACAUGGGCUAAAAGGGGAUGGCCCUGGGCAGUCAGCAUGGAAAUGCAAGUGGACUUGGCUGGCUGGGAAAAAGCAGAGAACCUCCCAGAGGAGCUGGGAUGGAGCAGGAAACGUCUUCAGCUGAUGGCAAACAGUGCUGCAAGGAGGACCCUGGGGAAGGGGCUCUACUUCACUAGGGUGAUUUGGCUGCUGAAGAUUUCAGGCUAGCUUUAUAAAAGCGCUCAGUUUACUGCAGUUCAGCUGGAGGAACCUUGACUCCUGCCAAGAUCCUCAAUUUUGACUGGCUGUUUGCACUCUCGGUCUAGCUCAGUGUCUUUCUUUAAUAUAUUUCAGCUUGGUAGCUUCUUUUGAAAGUCACAGAAGUGCUGAACUUUCAGUUUUAAUAAUUUUAUUUGGAAAAAAUGUCAGUAAGAAGACAAUAGCAAAGGGAAUAGAAAAAAUAAUUUUUAAAAACUUUCAUUUUUCUUACAGAGAGUAUUUACAUUACCAAACUUUGUGAUGACAAGCAUCUUGGGAUCUUGCAAGGCUGUAUUGUUAACUGAGGAAAUUAAAGCUCAGGGAGGUUUGAAGCUAACUUCAUCCAAGCUGGGCAGCUGAAGUACCUGAAACAGUGAGUCGUUCUGAUUUCAAUUCAGAGUUUGCAUUGCUGGAAAAAAAUGUAUCAGUGAAAGCAACCUUCACAUCUCUAAAAGAAAACUUGGACACUGCUCCAUCUGGGCACUUGUUUACACUCACACAUUCUGGUGCUGGCCUGUGCUGAUGUCUGCUAAGUGACCAUCAAUUUUGGGGUGUUUUAUUUCCCCAAACCCCAUCUGACUGGUACAACUCACCGCAUCUGGCUCUUUGUUGCUGAAAGCGCUUUGCACGGCCAUGUACCCACAGCUCAUAUAAAUCCCAGCAGCCCACAUGCCCCUUUGUGAAGAAAUGGAGAGAGAGACAGUAAUAGAUUUGCCAGUGAAAACCUGUUCCCGCCGUAGACAAAAUUCUGUUAUAUUUUUUACAGCCCCCCCAACUCCUGCCCUUGCCUCCAUCCUCGACUGUCCCUCAUCUCCUCCAGCUGCUCCCAUGCCCCAAACAUCCUUACCCUGGGCUCCCCUGCUGCAUUCCCCCUUGUCCCUCAAUCCAUGCUUUCCACCGCUGGCCCAGUGGCUAAGAGCAGGUGGAAAGGCAGGUGAUAAUAUCAAUAUUUAUGUGCUGGUGGCAACUGUUGGAAUUGUUCCCCUAAAAAUAAUAAGAUAAUAAAUACAUCCAACCCCAAAAUGCGUGUACAAAUCCACAAAGAGAUAUCUUCCCUUUGCGUGGCCACCAAAACAAGAAGUCUCUAUGUAUAAUCAUUAAUAAACCCCAGGUGCAUGAAAUUAAGCAGAUCUGAAGUUGGCAGGAUUGGAGCCUUGGUGUUUCUAGAGGAGGCUCACAAUGUGAAGCCAGAGAGUAAUAGCUGCCCUAUAACUACGCAAGUGAAGCAGUUGUUUACGUAUACAUCUUGUCAGUUUGAUGUGCUGGUUUCUGACUCUUGUCAAGUGUAAAUGGGAAUACUCCCACUGAAGUUUCUAUUUUUUUACCUAUUAUACUGAUGCACAUGUUAGACUUGCACCAGCCUGUAAGGAAAUACAACAAUGUAUAAGCAGCUCUAAUAAGCAGCAUCCCAUUGCACGCCUGGAAAGUCUUUAAGACUCAUUAAGCAGUCAGCAAAACAGACACAUUUGUCUACCAUUAAAUUGAAAAUACUGAGAGAGGACCUGUGCAUGGCUGUGAUUUGUGAGGGAGUGCAUUAGCAAGAACAGCCACAGUCUGCUUAGCAGUUGGGUAUGAGUUAAAGCAGGAACUGGAGUGAGAGGAACUAUUCUAAACAAAUCAGCUCUAUUAAUACUCUGAAAGUACAUUUAAAAGCAGCAGCACAUACAGCCAUCUUUGACUCCUCCAGAAGGAAGUUGC